GGCCGGGCAGCGCGCAUCGAUACAAGACCCGAAAGGGGAAACAUGCGGGCCGAUCUGCGGGCGGUGUUCAAGUGCCCGGCCGCCCUGCU
rfam:Ralstonia eutropha H16 chromosome 1